GUGGAAGCUGGGUGGUUCUGAGGUACCAUCCCCUAGGCUUUCAGUGGCCUAUGGAAGUAGCAUGUCGGGGUGAAGAAGGUGGCUCCAUACCCGGGAAUGUGGGGUGUUUGGUUUGCGCAAAAGACAAAAGGAAAGACGGGGGCGAGCAAGCCCUCUUUUUCCGGAAGAAGGUCGACCCUUACUCUAUUUCCUCAAAGGAAGAAAUAGUCGGGUCGGAGAGAGACAGCCUACCCUCAUUUUGUGGGGAGCUACAGUGCUU
rnacentral:lncRNA from 1 species